CCCGCCCUAUUUUUAAAAACAAACUUUGGAAGUGGGCUCAUGUGUUUGCAGGAGUCUAAUGUUUACUACCAUAUACAGGAUUACGAUACAAACCGUGUUCAGAUUGUGUAUUGUUUUGAAAUACGAUGAUACGAUGAUGGAGGGCAAGUCAUACAGGCGAAGUCUGAUGUAAACAUUGGAUUAUAUAUCACUAUUUCACGGAUUUUACACUUUUUGGGACAAAAAGGGACAUUUGAUGUAUUUCACUAGAUGGUUUUCAUGGACUUUUAAAACAUCUGUGACAAAUUGGAUUUGACUGGCGAUCGUUAUAUCCAAAUAAAGAUUCGCAGCUGGACACAUCCUUCUACACUGUAUGCAAACAUGCAACAUCAUUACACACAGUACAAGGAGUCAGACUGGCAUAUGAGGAGCAAAGGAACCCAGGCAGUAGCAUCGUUUCAAAAUGUUUUCAUCACCAUCAUCAGUGGAUGCCUUUGCUGUCCGUAGCCUGAGAUUUCAGAUUUGCAGCAAAACAUUUGAUUUUCUCAUUUAUUGGAAUGCUGUGCAGGUAUUUAAGUAUUUUAGUAACUGUGUUAAAUAAAGUAGUAUUUACUUGUUUAUAUUUUUACAGGUUGUACCUUGCAGCCAUCCAUUACAAUGUCACCAAGCCGUAACAAAAGCAGGAGAGGGAAAGUACAAGGCUAUGUUCCCAAAACACACAAGUGACAUACCUUAUGUGGAUGAUGUGAUCAGGCUUGUGUUUGAUGAGGUAUUUGAAGAUAAGCUGAAGGAAAUCCCGAUUCCUAUGGACCUGGCAUCACAGUUUGAGAGACCUUCAAAGGAGGACGUGAUUGCAUGCCAUCUUCAGUGCGGGGGUCGUCGAAAGCCAACAUUGUGACCGAUCUGAUCAGAAAGCUCCAAGCAUAUCUGGAGAACAACACACGACAGGAUGAUAACCUUAUAGUGUCGUCUUAAAUAGCACCAGCUGACAAAGCUUUGAUAUGCCAUUUAUCUGAAUAGAUAGCUGUAAGAAAUAAAUUGAACAAUUUUUGAA